GUGUAAGAUUUCUUUUUUUUUUCUUUUUUAACAAGGGGGAAGAAAGGGAUGAGGAAGAAGGAAAACCACGUUAGCUCAGUGUUGUCAGAGCAGAAGGGGAGUCACAGAGGGGGACGCGCGUCGAGCGAUUCACAAGGCCGAGUCUGCGUGACCUCUAUAACCAACCAAUCACGAAGGAGCUCACCUACAGGAGGUUUAUCACUCUUGAGGAAAAAAGGUCACACAGUCUUUCUACUGCGCCCGUACGCACUGCACUAUAACGUUAUGUUUUUAAAAAAAUCUACAUUUCUACAACAGUUAUAAUGCAAAAACCUAGACUUCCCAAACAGUACAAACCCUGCCUCCCACACAAAUUUUUAAAAAAGGGAAGACUGUUUGAAUUUUCCCUCCACAAAGUCAGGAAAUCCAAAUCCAGCACUUUCAACCAUCAGGAUGAGGAAGCAAGUUCUCUUCUGAUCAUCAAGCCCUACUUUUUAAUUUGUCAUACUAAAAACUAACUACACCAGGUAACCUCAAAUCUAAGUGGCCUUUUCUAAAACAGGAGAUGUACAGUACGUUGGUUGGAUUACUUUAUAUAUAUAUAUGUACAUUUCUGUUAUGUUUUACUCAAUAGUACAUACCUCAUACUGUAUGCAACUUAAAAUAAUUUGUUCCUAUUAUUCCUAUAUAAGACAGUUCCUAUAUAAGACAGGAAUAUGAUAGAAACAUGAGUAAAUUUAAACACUUAUACAGUGCAUGUUUUUCAACUAUUAUUUCCAAAGAAGUUCCUGUACACAUGCUAUGUAUGAAGUAAGAUGAAAUUUAAACUACUUUAGCUUCUAUUAAUUAUUUAUGCAUUGCUUGAGAUCUGAAAUAACCACGUACUUAAUUGUGAACUGCUACUUUACUCUGAAAAAACUAGAAACUAAAUGUUGAGUAACAGCAAAAAAGAAAAUUGUGCUUUUCCAUGUAUGAUUGUGCCACCUAGUGGGGUUCGUAAGAAAGUGCACCCAAUAACUGUGCAGAAGUGCAUUAUUUUAACCCAUUGAAGGGACGAGUAGGCAGGGCAUUGAUCGGCCUGGUUGCAUGCGUCAAAUUUUGGCUGUGUUCUUCUCCAGUCCCACAGUUUAAUCUGCAGUGCCUGUGAUUUACAUACGCACGGGCAAAUGUGUAUGUGAUCCACCCUGCUUUGACAACAAUGAG